AAGGUCCCGCCUGCCCUGUGACUUUAGGUUUAACGGCCGCGGUAUUUUGACCGUGCGAGUGUAGCGCACUCACUUGUCUCUUAUAUGGGGACCUGUAUGAGUGGCAUAACGAGGGUUUAACUGUCUCCUUUCCCAAGUUAAUGAAAUUGAUCUCCCCGUGCAGAAGCGGGGAUAAAAACAUAAGACGAGAAGACCCUAUGGAGCUUUACGCAAUAAACAGACCGUACCAAAUUACCCCGAUAAAGGAACAAAACAUACUGAUCAAACCUGUUUUAAUGCCUUUGGUUGGGGCGACCGCGGGGAAACAAAAAACCCCCUGGUGGAACAGGACUACUCAUCCUCCAGACUAGAGCCCCCGCUCUAAUAAACACAACAUCUGACCUUUACGAUCCGGCAGAGCCGAUCAACGAACCGAGUUACCCUAUGGGAUAACAGACGCAAUCCCCUUAUAGAGCCCAUAUCCACUAGGGGGUUUACGACCUCGAUGUUGGAUCAAGAUAUCCUAAUGGUGCAGCCGCUAUUAAGGGUUCGUUUGUUCAACGAUAAGGAUCCUACGUGAUCUGAUUUCAUACCGAGAUGAUCUGAGUUCAGACCGGA
rnacentral:rRNA from 1 species